rnacentral:tRNA from 1 species
CGCGGGGUGGAGCAGCCUGGUAGCUCGUCGGGCUCAUAACCCGAAGGUCGUCGGUGCUCGUCGGGCUCAUAACCCGAAGGUCGUCGGUUCAAAUCCGGCCCCCGCAA